rnacentral:rRNA from 1 species
UAGGGAAUCUUCGGCAGUGGACGAAAGUCUGACCGAGCAACGCCGCGUGAGUGAAGAAGGUUUUCGGAUCGUAAAACUCUGUUGUUAGAGAAGAACAAGGACGUUAGUAACUGAACGUCCCCUGACGGUAUCUAACCAGAAAGCCACGGCUAACUACGUGCCAGCAGCCGCGGUAAUACGUAGGUGGCAAGCGUUGUCCGGAUUUAUUGGGCGUAAAGCGAGCGCAGGCGGUUUCUUAAGUCUGAUGUGAAAGCCCCCGGCUCAACCGGGGAGGGGCAUUGGAAACUGGGAGACUUGAGUGCAGAAGAGGAGAGUGGAAUUCCAUGUGUAGCGGUGAAAUGCGUAGAUAUAUGGAGGAACACCAGUGGCGAAGGCGGCUCUCUGGUCUGUAUCUGACGCUGAGGCUCGAAAGCGUGGGGAGCAAACAGG